GUUACCGCGUCAACGAGAGUGAACUCGCAAUACAAGAUAAACGAGAAAUAAAACCGUCGUCGAAAGGUUCGAUCCACAAACGAGGAACCUGCAACGAUCGAGGACAGUACCUACUUACGAGACACGACAUUCUACGAGCACCUCUUAGAAAUUGGACAUGGAAAGACUUUCAGAAAGUUCUGCUAAAUAGUUAAUCGAUUCGACGAGUGGGCAGCUCGUAUAUCAAACGACAAAGAGCGAUCGAGUGUCUCGGUAGAGCGAUUCGACAGAGGCGAUCGAUCGCGCACGAGUGAACAGAAAUUCUGAAAACAAGAGUUGGAAAAAAGAACCGUGAGCAGACGCCGUAUAAUGAACAGAAUUCACUCUAGCCCGGUCAUUUUCACUUCCGUGGAAAAGAAAAGGGAAAGUGCGCGUCGUUUCAGACCAAGAAGCCGUGCUUUACCGUACGUGUUUAUAACGCUCAGACAUCGCAGACCUACGUGAUCGUCUAUUUAACCAUGCUCUUGACGAAAUAAUGCUUUUUCAACGACAACCGUUUGUUGCAAAAUGAGUUCGAUUCCUGGAUCGGUUGGAGAUUUCGGGGCAUCGUUGAUCGUAUUCGUUGCUUUUUCACACGACCAAGUGCGUCGAGGUCCAGGUAACACUGUUUACGGAGCGUACCAUAAAGACGCUCGAAAUUUGUCCAAGUCCAGCAACGUCACGCCAAUAUCACUCGAUUUCUCACAUCUUUCACAAAAUUUUAACAUGUAAGAAAUAAACUCCACAAAGUUGCUUUCAUAAAUAGUCUAUUGCGCGAAUCUCGCGGUUCGCAACUUUCGCGACUCUGAAUUCUCUAAUUUUGAGCGGGAAUUUCCAGUUGAUUCGCGUAAGAGGGGAAAAAGUACGAGGAAACGUCAAAUUGGAGCGCACCUUUGACGCACGUGCACUUGGCCAUACAGUUGAUCAGAAAUCACGUGGUGGAAACUGUAAACUGGUUCGCGGAGGAACGACCUCCGAUUCCUGGAUGACGGAUGAGCUGACCUUCGAAAAUAUGGCGGCACUCGUGGACGGUCCGUGGCCACGAGUGUCGACUACACACUACACAGUACACUGGGAGUUGGGACCGGACUACGGUGCUAAGAUGAACCGAGUAAACGGUCCCGAGAGCUUAGCUCUAGGUAGGAGGAGCGCACUUAUACUUGGUUUCGAUCUUCCUCGAUCCAUUCUCUCCUCAACCUCGGAAAGAAAGAAAGAGAGAGUCGUAUGAUGUGCGCGCGUGUGCGUGCUCGUCUUGAUACAACUUCUCAUUCUGGAAUGCGUUGUCCUUCUUUUACUCGAGGUUAAGACGAAGAAGAAGGGAUUCACUGCGCAAGAGAGAAAGUUAGAGAAAUGAUUAACACUGUGGCUUUGCUUGCGUCUUUUCUUUCGAUCCUAUUAUCUCCGAAAACAUUCUUGCUAUAUAAAUUACAAGUAUUAUAUUUUUGAAAACGGCACACUCAAUUUUAUAAAAUUUAUCAUUUUAUUGACAAGUUACACGAUAUUAUUUAAAUAAUAUUUGUUACGUUGCUGGUCCAGAAAAACGGUAAAUAUAUUUUAUAAAGCUUAAUUUAUGUAUUGCUGUAAAUCUAAGGUCUAAUAACGGUAAAUGUAAUUCGUAAGGCCAAAUCUAUGUUACGAUAUUUGCUUCUAUCAAUUAAUGUUUAUUUACUAAAUUAGCAUACUUUCAUUAUGUUUAACGACUUAAUUGCUGUUCGAUAUUUCGAGCGGAGAUAAAUAUCUAUACACUUACAACAUUGAUUAUACAAGAAAUGUAUAAAUUAAAUUGUUACGCGCGUGUGAAAACUUAAUUAUUGAUAUCAAAG